rnacentral:rRNA from 1 species
UGGGGAAUAUUGCACAAUGGGCGCAAGCCUGAUGCAGCAAUGCCGCGUGUGUGAAGAAGGCCUUAGGGUUGUAAAGCACUUUCAGACGUGAGGAAAAGUUGGAUAUUAAUACUAUUCGACCGUGACGUUAACGUCAGAAGAAGCACCGGCUAACUCCGUGCCAGCAGCCGCGGUAAUACGGAGGGUGCAAGCGUUAAUCGGAAUUACUGGGCGUAAAGCGCGCGUAGGCGGUUAGAUAAGUCAGAUGUGAAAUCCCUGGGCUCAACCUAGGAACUGCAUUUGAUACUGUCUGGCUAGAGUAUGGUAGAGGUGAGUGGAAUUUCAGGUGUAGCGGUGAAAUGCGUAGAGAU